rnacentral:rRNA from 1 species
AUUGAACGCUGGCGGCAUGCUUUACACAUGCAAGUCGAACGGUAACAGGCCGCAAGGUGCUGACGAGUGGCGAACGGGUGAGUAAUGCAUCGGAACGUGCCCAGUCGUGGGGGAUAACGCAGCGAAAGCUGCGCUAAUACCGCAUACGAUCUAUGGAUGAAAGCGGGGGACCGUAAGGCCUCGCGCGAUUGGAGCGGCCGAUGUCAGAUUAGGUAGUUGGUGGGGUAAAGGCUCACCAAGCCAACGAUCUGUAGCUGGUCUGAGAGGACGACCAGCCACACUGGGACUGAGACACGGCCCAGACUCCUACGGGAGGCAGCAGUGGGGAAUUUUGGACAAUGGGCGCAAGCCUGAUCCAGCAAUGCCGCGUGCAGGAAGAA